rnacentral:rRNA from 1 species
ACUUGCCUCCUAAUUAGAGGCUAGUAUGAACGGAUAGACGAAAGCAUAUUUGUCUCCCCUAUGGCACUAAAAAUUAUCUUUCAGGUGAAGAGACCUGGAUACUAUAAAAAGACGAAAAGACCCUAUGGAGCUUUACUCUCCUUAAUAUUUAAAAGAAGUAGAAAGAAAUUUCUUUAUUAAAAAAGUUUAGUUGGGGCGACUAAGGAGUACAACAAAGCCUCCUUUCUCUAAAGAAAAUAAAUCAUCCUAAAAUCCACGAAAGUGAAUAAAAAUCCAGCUACCCUAGGGAUAACAGGCUAAUCCUCCUCGAUAGCUCGCAUUGACAGGAGGGAUUGGCACCUCG